AUGAACACUUCUCCAGCUUUAGUGACUGUGAUGCUGCUGUUCAUGCUUGGGAGGACACAUGGAUACUCAGUGACUCAGAAACAAGGUCAAGUGACUCUCUCAAAAGAUGACUUCCUAUUUAUAAACUGCACUUAUUCAGCCACAGGGUACCCGACUCUUUUCUGGUAUGUCCAAUAUCCUGGAGAAGGUCCAGAACUCCUUUUGAAAGUCACAACAGCCAACAAGGGAAGCAGCCGUGGUUUUGAAGCUAUAUAUGAUAAAGAAUCCACCUCCUUCCACUUGCAGAAAGCCAUGGUCCAAGAGUCAGACUCAGCUGUGUACUACUGUGCUCUGGGUGACACAGUGGCAGAAACCACAUGGGGGAGCUGA